UACGGAGGGGGCGAGUGUUGUUCGGAAUUACUGGGCGUAAAGGGCGCGCAGGCGGCCUGGCAAGUCGAGUGUGAAAUCCCUUGGCUUAACUGAGGAAUGGCGCUCGAAACUACCUCGCUGGAGGGCGGGAGAGGGAAGUGGAAUUCCCGGUGUAGCGGUGAAAUGUGUAGAGAUCGGGAGGAACACCGGUGGCGAAGGCGGCAUCCUGGACCGACACUGACGCUGAGGAGCGAAAGCCAGGGGAGCAAACGGG
rnacentral:rRNA from 1 species